UCCGAGUUGUCCCCGGCAGUCCUCUUAGAGUCCCCGGCAUUACCCGCUGGCAACUAAGAGCAGGGGUUGCGCUCGUUGCGCCACUUAAGGCAACACCUCACGACACGAGCUGACGACAGCCAUGCAGCACCUGUGCAAGCUCCCCUUGCGGGGUCGUUCCGCUUUCACGGUCCUACCACUUGCAUGUCAAGGCCAGGUAAGGUUCUUCGCGUUGCAUCGAAUUAAACCACAUGCUCCACCGCUUGUGCGGGCCCCCGUCAAUUCCUUUGAGUUUUAAUCUUGCGACCGUACUCCCCAGGCGGGGUGUUUAAAGCGUUAGCGGCGCCACCGAAGAGCAAGCUCCCCGACGGCUAGCAUCCAUCGUUUACGGCGUGGACUAC
rnacentral:misc_RNA from 1 species